rnacentral:sRNA from 2 species
GCCCACGCGUUACCAUGACUACUGCACCCACUUACGCCAACUCGACAACAACCUCGCACGCUUCCAUGCUGUCCAAGGAAGACGUAACAAUUAUAGGCAGAACUACACGCCUACUAACGCGCCAACUGCACCAGCUGCCCCUGCGGACGCCAUGGAUUGGACCCCUCAUGUGAGCACAGGACGACCAAAGAUACCUGGCCUCUCUGGACGAGAAGUUACUGAUCGAAUCGCCCGAGGCGUCUGCAUUCGUUGCAACAAGCCAGGGCACUUCGCAAGCCAGUGCACCAAUGCAGUAGUUCCUGCCUCUACGCCGCGAGUGAACACAACUACGCCCACGAAUGAACAAGGACAGGGA